rnacentral:rRNA from 1 species
GACGAACGCUGGCGGCAUGCCUAAUACAUGCAAGUAGAACGCAGUUGCGAACGGGUGAGUAACGCGUAGGUAACUGCCUGGUAGCGGGGGAUAACUAUGGGAAACGAUAGCUAAUACCGCAUACUACCAGAUGGACCUGCGUUGUAUUAGCUAGUUGGUGAGGUAACGGCCAACCAAGGCAACGAUACAUAGCCGACCUGAGAGGGGGAUCGGCGAGACUGGGACUGGGACACGGCCCAGACUCCUACGGUAGGCCGCAGUAGGGAAGCUGCGGCAAUGGGGGGAACCCUGACCGAGCAACGCCGCGUGGGUGAAUAAGGUUUUCGGAUCGUAAAGCUCUGUGGUUCAGGAAGCGGUACUUACCCAGAAAGGGACGGCUAACUCCGUGCCAGCCGCCGCGGUAAUAC